UGGUUCUGGCAUCGAUGAAGAACGCAGCGAAAUGCGAUAAGUAAUGUGAAUUGCAGAAUUCAGUGAAUCAUCGAAUCUUUGAACGCACAUUGCGCCCCUCGGUAUUCCGGGGGGCAUACCUGUUCGAGCGUCACAACACCUCUCAAGCGUAGCUUGGUAUUGGGCUUCGCCCCCUCCCUGAGGGCGGCGUGCCUGAAAAGCAGUGGCGGUCCGGUCCGGGCUUGAACGUAGUAAAUUCUCUCCCGUUCUGAAGCUCCUCUCCGUGGCUGGCCAUAAAACCCCCCAUUCUCUCAAGAAUUGACCUCGGAUCAGGUAGGGAUACCCGCUGA
rnacentral:misc_RNA from 1 species